CAAUAGCGUAUAUUUAAGUUGUUGCAGUUAAAAAGCUCGUAGUCGGAUUUUGGCUGAGAACGAUCGGUCCGCCGUUAGGUGUGCACUGAUUGGUCUCAGCUUCCUGGUGAGGAGGUGUGCUUCACGGCCACUUAGUCACCGUGGUUACUUUGAAAAAAUUAGAGUGUUCAAAGCGGGCUUACGCUUGAAUAUAUUGGCAUGGAAUAACACCAUAGGACUCCUGUCCUAUUUCGUUGGUCACGGGACGGGAGUAAUGAUUAAGAGGAACAGUUGGGGGCAUUCGUAUUUCAUUGUCAGAGGUGAAAUUCUUGGAUUUAUGAAAGACGAACUUCUGCGAAAGCAUUUGCCAAGGAUGUUUUCAUUGA
rnacentral:rRNA from 1 species